rnacentral:rRNA from 1 species
UACGUAGGGUCCGAGCGUUGUCCGGAGUUACUGGGCGUAAAGAGUGCGUAGGCGGUGUUCCAAGUCUGUUGUGAAAUCUCCCGGCUUAACUGGGAGGGUGCGGCGGAAACUGGGACGCUGGAGUACGGGAGAGGUAAGCGGAAUUCCUGGUGUAGCGGUGAAAUGCGUAGAUAUCAGGAGGAACACCUGCGGUGUAGACGGCUUACUGGACCGUAACUGACGCUGAGGCACGAAAGCGUGGGUAGCAAACAGG